rnacentral:rRNA from 1 species
UACGUAGGGGGCAAGCGUUGUCCGGAUUUAUUGGGCGUAAAGAGCUCGUAGGUGGUUCGGUAAGUCGGAUGUGAAAUCUCCAGGCUCAACCUGGAGGGGUCAUUCGAUACUGCCGUGACUAGAGUUCGGUAGGGGAGUGUGGAAUUCCUGGUGGAGCGGUGAAAUGCGCAGAUAUCAGGAGGAACACCCGUAGCGAAGGCGGCACUCUGGGCCGAUACUGACACUGGAGGAGCGAAAGCGUGGGGAGCGAACAGG